CUCUCAAGAAGUUGGAAAACAACCUUUGGUCUAGGAGGAAGUCCUACCAAUUGUGAGUGAAUCCAUUAAAGAAUGAAAUUGGCUGAUGUGAUUGGAAAGAGAAAUGUUUAGAAAUAUGUGGGAUGUGGGAGACCUGUCGUUUGCUUUAUGAUUCACAGGCUGAGGAUUUCUUCAGGGGACAACUGGCUAGCUAAAGAGGUCUGUGUUGCUUUCUUCUUUAAAUGUAAUGGAUUUUAUUGUGUAAAAGUAUGGGAUAAUAUUUGUAUUGUUGCGGGAGGGUUGUUUCUCUUUUUUUUUUCUAACCAAUAGUUUCAAAGAAGAGAAGAGCAUCUUCUUCUAUAGAGAAAUUGAAAUGUAAGAACCUUUCUAUUCUACUAUUCCAAAAGUAAAGAUGUUCUUGGGAUCAAGUCAGUACAAUGCAUAAUUUCAACAUGUCCUUGUGGGAUGAUGGGAAAGAGCCUCUUUGUGUGCCUGUCUAUGUAGUUUGCUGCUUGACAGAUAUCUCAAGAGUCGCCAUAUGCAGUACGAAGAAUUGGACAACCUAUUAUUGGAUCUUCAUCGGUUUUCAGGUGAGAAUUGUUUUUGAUGAGUUUCAGAGUACUUCAAGAAGUUGGAAAACAACCUUUGGUCUAGGAGGAAGUCCUACCAAUUGUGAGUGAAUCCAUUAAAGAAUGAAAUUGGCUGAUGUGAUUGGAAAGAGAAAUGUUUAGAAAUAUGUGGGAGACCUGUCGUUUGCUUUAUGAUUCACAGGCUGAGGAUUUCUUCAGGGGACAACUGGCUAGCUAUAGAGGUCUGUGUUGCUUUCUUCUUUAAAUGUAAUGGAUUUUAUUGUGUAAAAGUAUUGGAUAAUAUUUGUAUUGUUGUUGCGGGAGGGUUGUUUUUCUUUUUUUUUCUAACCAAUAGUUUCAAAGAAGAGAAAAGAGCAUCUUCUUCUAUAGAGAAAUUGAAAUGUAAGAACCUUUCUAUUCUACUUUUCCAAAAGUAAAGAUGUUCUUGGGAUAAAGUCAGUACAAUGCAUAAUUUCAACAUGUCUUUGUGGGAUGAUGGGAAAGAGCCUCUUUGUGUGCCUGUCUAUGUAGUUUGCUGGUUGACAGAUAUCUCAAGAGUCGCCAUAUGCAGUACGAAGAAUUGGACAACCUAUUAUUGGAUCUUCAUCGGUUUUCAGGUGAGAAUUGUUUUUGAUGAGUUUCAGAGUCUCUUAAGAAGUUGGAAAACAACCUUUGGUCUAGGAGGAAGUCCUACCAAUUGUGAGUGAAUCCAUUAAAGAAUGAAAUUGGCUAAUGUGAUUGGAAAGAGAAAUGUUUAGAAAUAUGUGGGAUGUGGGAGACCUGUCGUUUGCUUUAUGAUUCACAGGCUGAGGAUUUCUUCAGGGGACAACUGGCUAACUAAAGAGGUCUGUGUUGCUUUCUUCUUUAAAUGUAAUGGAUUUUAUUGGGUUAAAGUAUGGGAUAAUAUUUGUAUUGUUGUUGCGGGUUUUUUCUCUUUUUCAGGAGGAGAUGUGAUUGGAAAGAGAAAUUUCUGUAAAUAUGUGGGAAACCUGUUUUUCCUUUAUGGUUCACAGGCUGAACAUUUCUUCAGGGGAGAUCUGGCUAACUAAAGAGUUCUGUGUUGCCUACAUUUUUUAAAUGUAAUCUUUUUUAGCGUCAACAAGCAUGGAUUGCUAGUGGAUUGUUGUUUUGGGAGACCUCUGUGGACAGGUUGAGGAUUGGGUUUAUUAUUGCAUUGUUGUUUCUCCUGUUUUACAGAUUAGCUUCAAAGAAGAAAGAACACCUUGUACAGAAAGAAGAAUUGGUAAGUGGAAGAUGUUAAAGAAAGAUGGACCAUGAAAACCUUAUUUUUGUCUAUACAUCAAAAUUCUUUCAGGUGUUAAUUCUAACAAUGCUUAAUCACUACUUUUUGGCAAGUUUCAAAACGAGCGCAAUCAAUAAAUUUUAUUGUAUUGUUGUUUUAGUAGAAUUUUUCACCGUGGAGAGAAGACAAUCUACCAACACAGAGCCCAGAACUGGUAAUGGUCUCUCUGUUCCUAUAUUAGAAAUCUUUUACGCAAAAAUUAUUGCAUAUAUUUUAAUGUGUACCAAGUUCUGAUUUCACACUGUAACAUAACUUAUUAUGAUCUAAUAUUCAUGGUCCCACCACUGUCCAGACUUGUUUCACUUAGUUAAAUAGCUAUAAUAUAUAUUAAUUGUUACAAUUAUUAAAUGAGGAUUUUUCUUUCAAAUAUUGGUUGUCAUGCUUCUCUAGGUAUUUGAUGGGGCAAGCUAACUCACUCCUCAUAAUUUUGUUACCUAUGCGUGACAAAAUGCCUUUUGUCACUGGAUUUUUAAAUGACCAACUGCCCUUUGCCCUUGGCUGUUGGAGGAGCCUGAUUGCCAGCCUCCUCCCUCGUGACUGUGGCCCUGGGGUGUAUUGCCAUUUAAAAAGACUAUUUGGGGCUUACUGGCUUCUAAAAGACUGUUUCUGCCCAUUUGAAUCCAUGGGAAUAUGUGUCUCUUCCCCUCCCUCGUUUCCUGUCUAUUGUUCCAGCAGGGCGUUGUCCCAGGCACACUGCCAGACCAGUUGGAACUUGCUGUUGCCCCUCCUCUGUCUCUCAUCAGCUCUUGCCAUGUUUUAAAGGACCACUCUAGGCACCCAGACCACUUCAGCUUAAUGAAGUGGUCUGGGUGCCAGGUCCCUCUAGG
rnacentral:lncRNA from 1 species